rnacentral:rRNA from 1 species
GACGAACGCUGGCGGCGUGCCUAAUACAUGCAAGUAGAACGCUGAAGGAGGAGCUUGCUCUUCUGGAUGAGUUGCGAACGGGUGAGUAACGCGUAGGUAACCUGCCUGGUAGCGGGGGAUAACUAUUGGAAACGAUAGCUAAUACCGCAUAACAGUAGAUGUUGCAUGACAUUUACUUAAAAGGUGCAAUUGCAUCACUACCAGAUGGACCUGCGUUGUAUUAGCUAGUUGGUGGGGUAACGGCUCACCAAGGCGACGAUACAUAGCCGACCUGAGAGGGGGAUCGGCCACACUGGGACUGAGACACGGCCCAGACUCCUACGGGAGGCAGCAGUAGGGAAUCUUCGGCAAUGGACGGAAGUCUGACCGAGCAACGCCGCGGGAGUGAAGAAGGGUUUCGGAUCGUAAAGCUCUGUUGUAAGAGAAGAACGAGUGUGAGAGUGGAAAGUUCACACUGUGACGGUAUCUUACCAGAAAGGGACGGCUAACUACGUG